GGCCGCCUCUUCGGAGGCGGCUGAGCGGCGCACGGGUGAGGAGCACGUGGGGAACCGACCCCAGGGCGGGCACUAGCGCGUUGAAAAGCGCGGUAAUGGCCCAUACGGCCGGGUCCGGCAACGGACUGGGCGAAAGCGGUGACGCGCCCUGGGAUGGCCCCGCGGCCCAUUAGCUAGUUGGGGGGGUAACGGCCUCCCAAGGCGACGAUGGGUAGCCGGCCUGAGAGGGUGUCCGGCCACACUGGGACUGAGACACGGCCCAGACUCCUACGGGAGGCAGCAGCAGGGAAUCUUCCCCAAUGGGCGCAAGCCUGAGGGAGCAACGCCGCGUGAGUGAUGACGGCCUUCGGGUUGUAAAGCUCUGUGCGGGGGGACGAAACGCGGGUCCGGCGACGGACGUGCGGUGACGGUACCCCCGGAGCAAGCCCCUGCUAACUACGUGCCAGCAGCCGCGGUAAGACGUAGGGGGCGAGCGUUGUCCGGAAUGACUGGGCGUAAAGGGCGUGUAGGCGGCGCGGUACGUGGCGUCGGAAAGCCCCCGGCUCACCCGGGGGAGGCGGCGGCAAACGGCCGGGCUGGAGGGCAGGAGAGGGGCGCGGAAUUCCCGGUGGAGCGGUGAAAUGCGUAGAGAUCGGGAAGAACACCCGUGGCGAAGGCGGCGCCCUGGCCUGGCCCUGACGCUGAGGCGCGACAGCGUGGGGAGCGAACGGGAUUAGAUACCCCGGUAGUCCACGCCGUAAACGAUGGGUACUAGGUGUCGGGGGGGUUCACCCCGCGGUGCCGGAGCUUACGCACUAAGUACCCCGCCUGGGGAGUACGGCCGCAAGGUUGAAACUCAAAGGAAUUGACGGGGGCCCGCACAAGCAGUGGAGCAUGUGGUUUAAUUCGACGCAACGCGCAGAACCUUACCAGGCCUUGACGGUCGUCGCAACCCCGGGAAACCGGGGGGCCCUUCGGGGGACGGCGGCCCAGGUGCUGCAUGGUUGUCGUCAGCUCGUGUCGUGAGAUGUUGGGUUAAGUCCCGCAACGAGCGCAACCCUUGUCCCGUGUUGCCAGCACAUGAUGGUGGGCACUCACGGGAGACUGCCGGUGACAAACCGGAGGAAGGUGGGGAUGACGUCAAAUCCGCAUGGCCUUAAUGGCCUGGGCCACACACGUGCUACAAUGGCGCCGGCAAUGGGGGGCCACGGCGCGAGCCGGAGCGAAUCCCGAAACGGCGUCGUAGUUCGGAUCGCAGGCUGCAACUCGCCUGCGUGAAGCCGGAAUUGCUAGUA
rnacentral:rRNA from 1 species